UAGCCUUUUCCAAUACCCAACCUUCUUUCAGAUAUCCCAUGCGCGUAUUUUCCUUCUUUCCACCUCCCAAAAUCAAUUUUUUGUAGCUUCCAAUGAAUCGUGCUAGUCGUCACCCCUUCGUUUUCUUAUUCUUCCUCUAUAUUAAUUCUGCCCUCUACAGACAAUUGCAUGUUCAUCUUCAUCCGUAAACCCCAUCCCCAGACCAUUGCAUCUUCCGUCUUCAUCCCCAAAGUGAAAAGAGGAGUGGUGUUUGACGAUGAUGGACGCCGAUCUGGUAACAGUGGAGUCGUGGUUACUUCGGAAAGGAAGGUCAUUUUCCAACGAUGUUGGAUCUGGUAUCAUCGGUGAUUAUCAAAGGCCCUACAAAAUUCAAAAAACAAGUUUCUCUAUUUUGAAAUCUCUUUUACAUUCUAUGAUUUUGUUGUUGUAAUUAUUCUUUUGCUUUGAAGAUUCUUAUUGAUAUUUCCAAUGUUUUAGGUUUGUUUGAUUUCCAUAUAUAAUUCCUUGCUAGACAUUUUAUCUUUUUCUUUGGUCGCUACAUGGUUUGGUUUCUUCUCUUCAUCGGUUAGUUGCAGAAAGAGUACUAUUGAAGCUUUGUCGGAGAAGAUGAAAGAAGUUGUGUUGGUACCUGAUUUUUCGCCGUUUCCAAUUAAUCGAUUUAUGGCUACUCUUACUCAUUCUAUUUAGGCUUUCUUCUGCUUUUAAAUUUCAUUUUUGCAUAUGUUUCUAAAUUUUAAGUUUUAUAUGUUUAAUUAUGUGAUUAGGUUUUUCCGUGAUCCGGAAAGAUGGGGAAGGGAGGCAAAUCUGCUAGGCUGACAAAAUUCAACAGAUCUGGAAUACCAGAGCUUUACAUUGAGGUUCCUGAAACUGCAACAGUUUUGAUCCUUUCAUUUUUUGGAAAUCGGGUUCACUAAAGGUUGUGGUUGCUCAAGCAGUAUUAGCCUACUAAGUGUUUGAUGAAAUGUCUGUGUUGGUGACGGGGUUUCAAAUUUCCAAGAAAUGAAGAAAGGAGGGCAUCCACUAGAGAAAUGGAUAUCAUAUGUUACUCAAACCGCUAGGUUGAUGACAAAGAUACGCCUUAUUGGUAAAGUUUAUCAUUUUUAUAUGCUAUGAUGAUACUAAGUUUAUUAAUCGCAUUCAUACAUAUAGUGUUUUGUGAUACUUCGACAUUCAUGUCGAACUUGAGCGGUUGCCAGAGAAGACCACGAAUUUUAUUAAUUCUUAUGUAUUUGAUUGAUUUAUUAAGAAUCUUAUUGAUAUUUCCAAUGUUUUAGGUUUGUUUGAUUUCCAUAUAUAAUUCCUUGCUAGACAUUUUAUCUAUCUCAGCUUAGAAGAUUAUAACUUUUUUGAAUAUGCACCAUGAAGUUGCUGUUGCGGAUUUGAUAAAAUAGUUGCAGCAUGCCUCUGAUGUCAAUGUUGUAUGUGUCCAUUUACUACAAUGAGCUGUCAAAAACACUCAUCCUUACAAACAGAAAAUGGACAUCUUCAACCAGAGAAAUGACCAAUCUCAAUGGGACUGGAUUGAUGUGCAUAAAGGCUAUAAUGAUGUGAACCUUAGUAGUAACAAAAGUUUUAGGGGUUGGAGUUAUGUGAAUUAAAGUAAUGAUGUAUAUGAAUUCAGCCAUUGACUUAGUAGUGAUUUGAACUAUUAUAAUUACUCUCUCUCCCUUCAUAAUUAUAAUAUCAAUUUAAAACAUUUGUUUUGCCCUUUUUUUAGCAUUAAAUCUAUGGGUUAUUUUUGUAGUUUAUCAAGUUUUUCCUUCAGAAGGAAAAAUUAGUUAUUGUAUCUACUUUGGUAAAACAGUUAUGCAUCCAAUUCAAGUAAAAACGGAAUAAAAUUGAAACAAAUUUAUGUAUCAUUUUUCUAUUUUCAUAUCAUGUUUCAUUGUACUAUCAUUUCUUCAAACACCGUUCAAUUUACAAGAACAUCACA